AGGGUUUGAUCCUGGCUCAGAACGAACGGUGGCGGUGUGCCUAUUCCAUGCAAGUCGAGCGAUAACCUUUCGAAAGGAAGGGGAAAGCGGCGGAAGGGUGAGUAAUAUAUAGAUAACCUACCCAAUAGAGGGGGAUAACAGAUCGAAAGGUCUGCUAAUACCGCAUAAGAUUCUUGGGGCGAAUGCCUUGGGAAUGAAAGCAGGGUCGCAAGGCCAUGUGCUAGAGGAGGGGUCUAUAGCCUAUUAGCUAGUUGGCAGGGUAAAAGCCUACCGAGGCAGCGAUGGGUAGCCGGCCUGAGAGGGUGAACGGCCACACGGGCACUGAGACACGGGCCCGACUCCUACGGGAGGCAGCAGGAAGGAAUAUUGGGCAAUGGGCGAAAGCCUGACCCAGCGACACCGCGUGAGGGAUGAAGGCCUUCGGGUUGUAAACCUCUAACACGUAUUAAGAAGGUUAUUAGCACUAAUAAUGUUAGUAAUCAGACAAAGGUACGAGAUGAAGUCAUGGCUAACUCUGUGCCAGCAGCCGCGGUAAUACAGAGAUGGCAACCGUUGUUCGGAAUCACUGGGCUUAAAGGGCACGUAGGCGGAUAGAAAGGUUGAUUGUGAAAUCCUAUGGCUUAUCUAUAGAAUGGCAGUCAAAACUAUCUAUCUUGAGGGCGGGAGGGGAGAGUGGAACUCCUAGUGGAGCGGUGAAAUGUGUUGAUAUUAGGAGGAACGCCGGAGGCGAAAGCGACUCUCUGGUCCGAUCCUGACGCUGAGGUGCGAAAGCUAGGGGAGCAAACGGGAUUAGAUACCCCGGUAGUCCUAGCUGUAAACGAUGGGUACUAAGUAGGGGGGGAAACCUCUCUGCCUGAGUGAAAGCAUUAAGUACCCCGCCUGGGGAGUAUGGUCGCAAGGCUGAAACUCAAAGGAAUUGACGGGGGCUCGCACAAGCGGUGGAGCAUGUGGUUUAAUUCGACGCAACGCGUAGAACCUUACCUGGGCUUGACAUGUAUGGAUUAGGUUAUCGAAAGGUAACUGACGCCCGCAAGGGAGGAACAUACACAGGUGUUGCAUGGCUGUCGUCAGCUCGUGCCGUGAGGUGUUGGGUUAAGUCCUAUAACGAGCGAAACCUAUAUCCUUAGUUACCAACGUGUGCCGAAAGGCAUGAUGGGGACUCUAAGGAGACUGCCCACGUUAAGUGGGAGGAAGGCGGAGACGACGUCAAGUCAUCACGGCCUUUAUGUCCAGGGCUACACACGUGCUACAAUGGUCGGUACAAAGGGAGGCGAAACCGUAAGGCGGAGCAAAUCUCAGAAAGCCGAUCUCAGUUCAGAUUGAGGGCUGCAAUUCGCCCUCAUGAAGCCGGAAUCGCUAGUAAUCGUGGGUCAGCUACACCACGGUGAAUGUGUUCCCGAGCCUUGUACACACCGCCCGUCAAGCCACUGAAGCAGGGGUAGCCUGAAGUCACUGACCGAACCGAAAGGUAGGAGGUGCCCAAGGAAACUUCUGUGACAGGGACUAAGUCGUAACAAGGUA
rnacentral:rRNA from 1 species